rnacentral:rRNA from 1 species
AUUGAACGCUGGCGGCAGGCUUAACACAUGCAAGUCGAGCGGGGACUUCGGUCCUAGCGGCGAACGGGUGAGGAAUGCUUGGGAAUCUGCCCAGUAGCGGGGGAUAACGUUUCGAAAGGAACGCUAAUACCGCAUACGCCCUACGGGGGAAAGGGGGGGAUCUUCGGACCUCUCACUAUUGGAUGAGCCCAAGUCGGAUUAGCUAGUUGGUGGGGUAAAGGCCUACCAAGGCGACGAUCCGUAGCUGGUCUGAGAGGAUGAUCAGCCACACUGGAACGGAGACACGGUCCAGACGCCUACGGGAUGCAGCAGUGGGGAAUAUUGGACAAUGGGCGAAAGCCUGGUCCAGCCCUGCCGCGUGUGUGAAGAAGGCCUUCGGGUUGUAAAGCACUUUAAGCGAGGAGGAAUGGCUCUUGGUUAAUAACCUUGAGCAGUGACGUUACUCGCAGAAUAAGCACCGGCUAACUCUGUGCCAGCCGCCGCCGUAACAC